AGUCGAGGGGCAGCGAUGGUAGCAAUACCAGUCGGCGACCGGCGGAUGGGUGAGUAACACGUAUGCAACCUGCCUUCAACAUUGGAAUAACCCGUUGAAAGACGGACUAAUGCCUUAUAACACAGGGGCGCCGCAUGGCGAUAUUUGUUAAAGAUUUUAUCGGUUGAAGAUGGGCAUGCGCAUGAUUAGUUAGUUGGUAAGGUAACGGCUUACCAAGACAACGAUCAUUAGGGGUUCUGAGAGGAAGGUCCCCCACACUGGUACUGAGACACGGACCAGACUCCUACGGGAGGCAGCAGUGAGGAAUAUUGGUCAAUGAGCGAGAGCUUGAACCAGCCACGUCGCGUGCAGGAAGAAUGUCUUAUGGAUUGUAAACUGCUUUUUCGGUAGAGUAAUGUGCGUCACGUGUGAC
rnacentral:rRNA from 1 species